rnacentral:tRNA from 1 species
UAGCUCAGCUGGAUAGAGCAACGGACUUCUAAUCCGUAGGUCGUGGGUUCAAAUCCCU